rnacentral:rRNA from 1 species
GAUGAACGCUAGCUACAGGCUUAACACAUGCAAGUCGAGGGACCGGCGCACGGGUGAGUAACACGUAUCCAACCUGCCCUUUACUCGGGGAUCGCCUUUCGCAAGAAAGAUUAAUACCCGAUGUAAAGGAUGGGGAUGCGUUCCAUUAGGUUGUUGGUGAGGUAACGGCUAACCAAGCCUUCGAUGGAGAGGGGUUCUGAGAGGAAGGUCCCCCACAUUGGAACUGAGACACGGUCCAAACUCCUACGGGAGGCAGCAGUGAGGAAUAUUGGUCAAUGGGCGUUAGCCUGAACCAGCCAAGGAGCGUGAAGGAGGAAGGCUGAUGGGUCGUAAACUUCUUGUAUAUAAGAAUAUGUAUUAUAUGAAUAAGGAUCGGCUAACUCCGUGCCAGCAGCCGCGGUAAUUC